rnacentral:tRNA from 1 species
UUGAGCUGUAGUUUAUUAUAAAACAAUAAGUUGCAAACUUAUAGAAGAAACUUGUUUCCGGCCCAAU